GGAUAACUUACCCUUUAGGACUGGGAUAACUCUGGGAAACUGGGGAUAAUACUGGAUAUUAGGCUAUGCCUGGAAUGGUUUGCCUUUGAAAUGUUUUUUCGCCUAAGGAUAGGUCUGCGGCUGAUUAGGUCGUUGGUGGGGUAAUGGCCCACCAAGCCGAUGAUCGGUACGGGUUGUGAGAGCAAGGGCCCGGAGAUGGAACCUGAGACAAGGUUCCAGACCCUACGGGGUGCAGCAGGCGCGAAACCUCCGCAAUGUACGAAAGUGCGACGGGGGGAUCCCAAGUGUUAUGCUUUUUUGUAUGACUUUUCAUUAGUGUAAAAAGCUUUUAGAAUAAGAGCUGGGCAAGACCGGUGCCAGCCGCCGCGGUAACACCGGCAGCUCGAGUGGUAGCUGUUUUUAUUGGGCCUAAAGCGUUCGUAGCCGGUUUGAUAAGUCUUUGGUGAAAGCUUGUAGCUUAACUAUAAGAAUUGCUGGAGAUACUAUUAGACUUGAAGUCGGGAGAGGUUAGAGGUACUACCGGGGUAGGGGUGAAAUCCCAUAAUCCUGGGAGGACCACCUGUGGCGAAGGCGUCUAACUGGAACGAUCUUGACGGUGAGUAACGAAAGCCAGGGGCGCGAACCGGAUUAGAUACCCGGGUAGUCCUGGCCGUAAACGAUGUGGACUUGGUGUUGGAAUGGCUUUGAGUUGUUCCGGUGCCGAAGGGAAGCUGUUAAGUCCACCGCCUGGGAAGUACGGUCGCAAGACUGAAACUUAA
rnacentral:rRNA from 1 species